GGGUUGUGAGGUUAAGCGACUAAGCGUACACGGUGGAUGCCCUGGCAGUCAGAGGCGAUGAAGGACGUGCUAAUCUGCGAUAAGCGUCGGUAAGGUGAUAUGAACCGUUAUAACCGGCGAUUUCCGAAUGGGGAAACCCAGUGUGAUUCGUCACACUAUCAUUAACUGAAUCCAUAGGUUAAUGAGGCGAACCGGGGGAACUGAAACAUCUAAGUACCCCGAGGAAAAGAAAUCAACCGAGAUUCCCCCAGUAGCGGCGAGCGAACGGGGAGCAGCCCAGAGCCUGAAUCAGUGUGUGUGUUAGUGGAAGCGUCUGGAAAGGCGUGCGAUACAGGGUGACAGCCCCGUACACAAAAAUGCACAUACUGUGAGCUCGAUGAGUAGGGCGGGACACGUGGUAUCCUGUCUGAAUAUGGGGGGACCAUCCUCCAAGGCUAAAUACUCCUGACUGACCGAUAGUGAACCAGUACCGUGAGGGAAAGGCGAAAAGAACCCCGGCGAGGGGAGUGAAAAAGAACCUGAAACCGUGUACGUACAAGCAGUGGGAGCACGCUUAGGCGUGUGACUGCGUACCUUUUGUAUAAUGGGUCAGCGACUUAUAUUCUGUAGCAAGGUUAACCGAAUAGGGGAGCCGAAGGGAAACCGAGUCUUAACUGGGCGUUAAGUUGCAGGGUAUAGACCCGAAACCCGGUGAUCUAGCCAUGGGCAGGUUGAAGGUUGGGUAACACUAACUGGAGGACCGAACCGACUAAUGUUGAAAAAUUAGCGGAUGACUUGUGGCUGGGGGUGAAAGGCCAAUCAAACCGGGAGAUAGCUGGUUCUCCCCGAAAGCUAUUUAGGUAGCGCCUCGUGAAUUCAUCUCCGGGGGUAGAGCACUGUUUCGGCAAGGGGGUCAUCCCGACUUACCAACCCGAUGCAAACUGCGAAUACCGGAGAAUGUUAUCACGGGAGACACACGGCGGGUGCUAACGUCCGUCGUGAAGAGGGAAACAACCCAGACCGCCAGCUAAGGUCCCAAAGUCAUGGUUAAGUGGGAAACGAUGUGGGAAGGCCCAGACAGCCAGGAUGUUGGCUUAGAAGCAGCCAUCAUUUAAAGAAAGCGUAAUAGCUCACUGGUCGAGUCGGCCUGCGCGGAAGAUGUAACGGGGCUAAACCAUGCACCGAAGCUGCGGCAGCGACGCUUAUGCGUUGUUGGGUAGGGGAGCGUUCUGUAAGCCUGUGAAGGUGUACUGUGAGGUAUGCUGGAGGUAUCAGAAGUGCGAAUGCUGACAUAAGUAACGAUAAAGCGGGUGAAAAGCCCGCUCGCCGGAAGACCAAGGGUUCCUGUCCAACGUUAAUCGGGGCAGGGUGAGUCGACCCCUAAGGCGAGGCCGAAAGGCGUAGUCGAUGGGAAACAGGUUAAUAUUCCUGUACUUGGUGUUACUGCGAAGGGGGGACGGAGAAGGCUAUGUUGGCCGGGCGACGGUUGUCCCGGUUUAAGCGUGUAGGCUGGUUUUCCAGGCAAAUCCGGAAAAUCAAGGCUGAGGCGUGAUGACGAGGCACUACGGUGCUGAAGCAACAAAUGCCCUGCUUCCAGGAAAAGCCUCUAAGCAUCAGGUAACAUCAAAUCGUACCCCAAACCGACACAGGUGGUCAGGUAGAGAAUACCAAGGCGCUUGAGAGAACUCGGGUGAAGGAACUAGGCAAAAUGGUGCCGUAACUUCGGGAGAAGGCACGCUGAUAUGUAGGUGAAGUCCCUCGCGGAUGGAGCUGAAAUCAGUCGAAGAUACCAGCUGGCUGCAACUGUUUAUUAAAAACACAGCACUGUGCAAACACGAAAGUGGACGUAUACGGUGUGACGCCUGCCCGGUGCCGGAAGGUUAAUUGAUGGGGUUAGCGCAAGCGAAGCUCUUGAUCGAAGCCCCGGUAAACGGCGGCCGUAACUAUAACGGUCCUAAGGUAGCGAAAUUCCUUGUCGGGUAAGUUCCGACCUGCACGAAUGGCGUAAUGAUGGCCAGGCUGUCUCCACCCGAGACUCAGUGAAAUUGAACUCGCUGUGAAGAUGCAGUGUACCCGCGGCAAGACGGAAAGACCCCGUGAACCUUUACUAUAGCUUGACACUGAACAUUGAGCCUUGAUGUGUAGGAUAGGUGGGAGGCUUGGAAGUGUGGACGCCAGUCUGCAUGGAGCCGACCUUGAAAUACCACCCUUUAAUGUUUGAUGUUCUAACGUUGACCCGUAAUCCGGGUUGCGGACAGUGUCUGGUGGGUAGUUUGACUGGGGCGGUCUCCUCCUAAAGAGUAACGGAGGAGCACGAAGGUUGGCUAAUCCUGGUCGGACAUCAGGAGGUUAGUGCAAUGGCAUAAGCCAGCUUGACUGCGAGCGUGACGGCGCGAGCAGGUGCGAAAGCAGGUCAUAGUGAUCCGGUGGUUCUGAAUGGAAGGGCCAUCGCUCAACGGAUAAAAGGUACUCCGGGGAUAACAGGCUGAUACCGCCCAAGAGUUCAUAUCGACGGCGGUGUUUGGCACCUCGAUGUCGGCUCAUCACAUCCUGGGGCUGAAGUAGGUCCCAAGGGUAUGGCUGUUCGCCAUUUAAAGUGGUACGCGAGCUGGGUUUAGAACGUCGUGAGACAGUUCGGUCCCUAUCUGCCGUGGGCGCUGGAGAACUGAGGGGGGCUGCUCCUAGUACGAGAGGACCGGAGUGGACGCAUCACUGGUGUUCGGGUUGUCAUGCCAAUGGCACUGCCCGGUAGCUAAAUGCGGAAGAGAUAAGUGCUGAAAGCAUCUAAGCACGAAACUUGCCCCGAGAUGAGUUCUCCCUGACUCCUUGAGAGUCCUGAAGGAACGUUGAAGACGACGACGUUGAUAGGCCGGGUGUGUAAGCGCAGCGAUGCGUUGAGCUAACCGGUACUAAUGAACCGUGAGGCUUAACCUUACAACGCCGAAGGUGUUU
rnacentral:rRNA from 1 species